rnacentral:rRNA from 1 species
GACGAACCGUGCGAACGUUAUUCGGAAUCACUGGGCUUAAAGCGCGUGUAGGCGGGCCGGCACGUCGGUCGCUGAAAUCCCCCGGCUCAACCGGGGAAGGGCGCCGAUACGACCGGCCUGGAGGGGCGUAGGGGGACCGGGAACUUCCGGUGGAGCGGUGAAAUGCGUUGAGAUCGGAAGGAACGCCCGUGGCGAAAGCGCGGUCCUGGACGCCUGCUGACGCUGAGACGCGAAAGCCAGGGGAGCGAACGGG